UACGGAGGGGGCUAGCGUUGUUCGGAAUUACUGGGCGUAAAGCGCACGUAGGCGGCUUUACAAGUCAGGGGUGAAAGCCCGGAGCUCAACUCCGGAAUUGCCCUUGAGACUGUAUCGCUUGAACACGGGAGAGGUGAGUGGAAUUCCGAGUGUAGAGGUGAAAUUCGUAGAUAUUCGGAAGAACACCAGUGGCGAAGGCGGCUCACUGGACCGUUGUUGACGCUGAGGUACGAAAGCGUGGGGAGCAAACAGG
rnacentral:rRNA from 1 species